rnacentral:rRNA from 1 species
GAUGAACGCUGGCGGCGUGCCUAAUACAUGCAAGUCGAGCGAACAGAUGAGGAGCUUGCUCCUCUGACGUUAGCGGCGGACGGGUGAGUAACACGUGGAUAACCUACCUAUAAGACUGGGAUAACUUCGGGAAACCGGAGCUAAUACCGGAUAAUAUAUUGAACCGCAUGGUUCAAUAGUGAAAGACGGUUUUGCUGUCACUUAUAGAUGGAUCCGCGCCGCAUUGGCUAGUUGGUAAGGUAACGGCUUACCAAGGCAACGAUGCGUAGCCGACCUGCGAGGGUGAUCGGCCACACUGGAACUGAGACACGGUCCAGACUCCUACGGGAGGCAGCAGUAGGGAAUCUUCCGCAAUGGGCGAAAGCCUGACGGAGCAACGCCGCGUGAGUGAUGAAGGUCUUCGGAUCGUAAAACUCUGUUAUUAGGGAAGAACAAAUGUGUAAGUAACUAUGCACGUCUUGACGGUACCUAAUCAGAAAGCCACGGCUAACUACGUG